CACCGCGGUUAUACUAGAGGCCCAAGUUGAUAAAUGCCGGCGUAAAAUGUGGUUAAUAUAACAUUAAACUAAAGCUAAACACCUUCAAAGCUGUUAUACGCACCCGAAGACAGGAAGUACUUCCACGAAAGUGGCUUUAUAAAUUAUUACUCCACGAAAGCUAGGACA
rnacentral:rRNA from 1 species